GAUGGAUGCAUGCAGUUCGUCAGAACUUAAAUACUGAGGAAGAAGUGGAAAAUGUAGCAGACAUUGGUUUUGAUUGUAACAUGUGCAGACCCUAUAUGCCUGCGUCUAAUGUGCCUUCCUCAGACUGCUGUGGAUCUUCACUUGUAGCACAAAUUGUCACAAAAGUAAAAGAGCUAGACCCACCCAAGACUUAUACCCAGGAUGGUGUAUGUUUGACUGAAUCAGGGAUGACUCAG